AUAAAGAGAAGAGAUUAUAAAAUUGAUUGAAAAAAGUUGUAAAUCAAAAAAAAAAAAAAUGAAAAUGUUGGAAACCAAUGAUGCAACAAUUAAUAAUUAAAAACUAAUAAUAAUAUAAUCUAAAAUUUAAAAUCUAAAAUAGAAAAAACUUCAAAAAACCCCCUGUGGUUUCGUAGUUUCUCACUUUGCCCUCAUGUGGUUUAAAAUGUAUCAAUUUGUCCUCCUAUGGUAUCUUUUUUCUCUUUUUCUUAUCAAUUUCAUUAUUUUUUUUCUUAAAUCAGUAAUAAAGUUUAAUUUAAAUGAUACUAAAGUGAAUAUUUGAUAAAUCUAGAUAGAUAUCUGAAGUUUUUUGUAUAUAAUUUAAUGAAAUAUUAACGAAAAAGCUAGCGAAAAGAUAAAAACGAAACCACAGGGGGUAAUUUGAUACAUUUUAAACCACAAGGGGUUAAGGUCAGAAACUACGAAACUACAGGGGGGUUUGUGAAGUUUU
rnacentral:lncRNA from 1 species